AAUUAUUUAUUUUAAAAGUUAAAUAAAAUGAAUACUUUUUUUAUUUUUAAAUAAAUUUGUUAUAUAUUUUAAUAUAAAUAAAAAUUCAUUAUAAUAUUUUAAUGUUAAGCUUAAGGAUAAAGAGGACAAUGAUCUUAACAACAAAAUUAAAUAAUUACUUCUUUAUAUACCAGAUGACGCCACAUUUCUGUUAUGUUAGUUUUCUAUUAAAUUAAAUCGAUUAAACAAAAAAUAAUAAAGAAUUAAAAUUUAAAAAUUUAAAAAAAUUAACUUUUCAAAUCUAGUAAAGGUGAUAUGAAUAAGAAAUAAUAAAUAUAAAUUAGGCAAGGAAUGAAAAAGAAAAUUUGAUAGAAGAAAUAUAAAGUGCAGUAAAUGAAAUGUGUUAUUCAAGUUAUUUUAAAUCUGUCACAUACACAAAUACAAAUAUUUCUCAUAAUAUUGUUCGUGAAUAAUUUGUUUAGUCAUAUGCCAUUACGAUAAAUACAGGAUGUGAAAAGAGAAAUAAAGCGAAAAAUGGAUAAAGAGAAAAGUUAAUGAAAAAAAAAAUCUAAUAUGUAUUAAGUGAAUAGUGAGCUAUGGAUUAAUGUGAAUUUUUACUUGACCUAACCCCAUAUUUAUAUGAACAUCAGUUUCUGAUUCUGUUUGCUAUUUCGUUUAAAUUUCAUCGCGUAACACUGUAUUGGGAAUCUAAGAAUGCAUCAACUGUAACAACGCAUCAUCGAUUUCCUGUCAAACGAAUUUUUCAUUCUUGCUUCACGCGAUGUGCUACUGAUAGCUUCUUUUUUCUGUUCGAAAUAUUUGUAUUAAUCUUUCUUCAAUAUUGUUUUCAUAACUUAAAGAUAUACUUUAUUUAUAUUUAUAUAUUUUAUAAACAAAUAUCGCAAAAUAAUUUUAAUGAAGAUGUCAUGUUAAAUCAUUACAAAUUAGAGUUAACAGCAGACAUUUUGAAAAAUGUCGUGAUUUUAAUUCUCUCAAUUUCAAUUGGAUCAAAUGUAAGUUUCAGAAUUUUAUUGCUUUACACUCAAGAAAACUGUACCACUUGCACAAUUAAGAUUAAUAAUUUGAUCAAUGAAAAUCUUCCUAUGUUACAUCGGCUUCAAACUUUAUAAUGAAACUUUUCGUUUAAAUGAACUUCGGCACAUAGUAAUCAUCUUAUCUCACUAACAAAGGUUCCCUAUAACUUUCGUUCGACACUAUCUAAUAUCGACGCAAAUAAAGUUAGCGAUUUCAAUCAGGAUCAUUUCAUGGAACGUUUGUAAGGAGCUUCCCCACUCUUUGUGGAUAAAGACAAUUAUAAUCGCGAGAAGAAAAAGGUAAGGGUGGCGCCGUAGUGUCGCGAGUGUAUCGAUCACAAAGAAUCGCCUAGGUACCUGUGAUUCAGAACAGCGGCCUGCCUCCCUCGGCUUGUAAGUGCUUGUACGUGGCCGGCCCUUUCUCUAGUUCGAGCAUGAGGAGCCUCAUGAAACAUGGAUCGAGAGUCGCCCUGGAAGGAGCUGCGGGAAAGAAGCCGACCGCCUGCCGUGCGGUUGCCGAUCAUCGCGAUAGUGAUGGGAUUAAUACUCUCACGUAUCGUAUCGAAAAUCCGGUCAAACAAACUACAUGUUACCGUUGAAAUCAUAAGUAAGAUGAAACCAGGAAGUUAAAAAGAAAAUUAUGAAGAUAUAGACGUAUGAGUUGAAGGUAUGUUCAGAAAUAGGAAAUAUAUCAGUAUAAGAGUAUGGAAAUUGAGAAAAGAAAUUUCAGAAAUUGAAGAGCAUAUGAAUUUAGAUACAGAUGUACAAGGAUGCAUAGAAAAUUUUUGAAAUAUGAAAGAAUGGAAAUUUUGGAAUUUUAACAACGAAGACUUAGAAAUUACUGCUUGUCUGAACCUCGUGUCGAAUGAUUUCGCGAUCAGUCCCAUCACUAAUCACCGAUGUGACUACGCGGUUACUUUUCAAGCGGCUGUGCAAGAAGAGCUUCCUGGCGCUGUUGAUUCACGGAAAUUAGUGCCACCGCGGUGCGUGCUCUGAACAUUACUUUGUAACUCGAUAUGCAUUAUGUAAAACCGGCGACUACCGCGUCGUAAUUGUAUCGUUUUGAUAAGUAAGCUCGCACGCUUGUUUCCUCAUCUCCGAUGUUGUGAUUUCACUUUAUUUCUUGCGUUCAUCCCCUAUCUCUGCUUUCGAUUCCACGUGAAAAAAAUUCAUUUCGAUCGAUUAUUCAUUGGAAAUUUUUUCAUCAUUCUCGUUGUAAGCUAAAUCUCAUCGGUUGAUAAUUUAUAAUUUACAGUUUAAAAGAAUUUAUACUUUAUUGAUACCAUAAAAAUGAUCUCGUAGAAUAGAAAAUCCUUUUAGGAUUUCCUAUUUCCCUUCCUUGUAGAAUAAUGAUUAAAUUGUAACAGAAUCGAUCAACCAUGACAUUACAAUUAUUUUAUAAUGGAUGGUUGAAUUUAGAGUUGAAUUAGAGAUCGAAUAGUACGAAAGGUUUAACGCAAUACAUAACGAAAACUACGGCAUAAUAAUCGUGUCUGUAUUUAGUGCGUUCUAGUAUCAGGAAAUUCACUUACGAACACAUGUGAUUGGAGAUUAGCGUAAUCAUACCGUGAUUAUUUCACCGGAUUAACUCUUCUGCCGAAUAGUUGGCCAGUUACUGUAUACGAAUCUGUGAGAUGUAUUUAAAAUGUAUUUGUAAAACUAUAUAAAUACAAACAUUAUUAGGAGAUUGAAGUCAAGAAUUUAAACUUUUGAAAUUUAAUCGAGGAAAGAAGUUUAAUCGUUUUAAAAUGAUUAAAUAUUUCUUUAUUAAAUUAUUUAAAAUAUUAUUACGUUCUGUUAUUCUAUAAAUUUUAACAAAUAUUUCGAGGAGAGAAAGACGGAGAUGGGAAAACAAAGAGGUAUGAAGAUUCUACGUGAAUCAGAAGAAAAUAUUUGUCACGGAUGAUAUAUGUUGGUUGAUAUGGUUGAUGAUCGAAAUCGGAGAGACAGGUCGCAGAUUAAAAGGGCAAAUAGAAAAGGCACAGCCUCUCUGCUUGAUUGCACGGCUCGUGGAGAGAUAUUUGUCUUGGAGAUGAAAUAUGUGCGAUGCAAUUAGACCGGAACGUCUGUAGGAACUAGCUGUAUGAAGAAGCAAACGGAUGUCUUAAGAAAUUCAUCUAAUCGAAAUAGAUAAAUCGUAUUUAAAAUGUGAAAAGAAUAUGAAAAUUGAUAAAAUACGUUUUACAAAGUGACAUAAUCGUAAUUAUAUAAUCAAAAGAAUUUCCAAUUUUAUGUAAUAUUUUCACAUGAAUAUUAUACAAAUUCUAUUAAGAAAUUGAACGAUCAAGAUCUUAAUGGUUCCUCAAAUUUGGCCAUGGAAACUUUAACCCAUCAUUCACGGCUCCUUAAACCUUCGCCCUCGGCCGCGUUAAUUCUCAAGUAUUAUCAAUUCAAGAGCAGCUUCAGAGGCACUCGACGCGUCAUCAAUAAACGAUCACCCCUGUUUGGAUCUAUCUAUCUCGUCCUAGGAUCCUUGUCUUGUCGAUCGUUCGCGUGGAUCUCAUCGAUCAUCUUCGUCGUGCGGCGGCGAACGUUCGACGAAACCUGAAAAAAGGAGAAUACACACGUGGUGUCUCUGACCACGUAGAAAAAGGAGAGGAAAGGAAGAAAUUGAUCCUGCCUGUUGAAUCCUCGUUACAAAAUACUCGAUACUCAGAGGAGGUCGGCUUUCGUUCGAAACGGCUCUAUCUUCAUGCGAAACCAUGGGAGAGGCAGGUGGCUCUGCGGCCAUAAAUGGGUGAUGGACGACGUAACGAUCUCUUCACUCUCUCGUAUGGACGUCACAAUUAGCCAUCUACGUAGACACGGCUACGAACCAACAAACGGACCGAACAAACUGUCCUGUCUAUCUGUUUGUCUAUCGGAUCUGCCGCUUGCGCGGCCAGCAGGAAUUGCGUUCGUUCAAUUAACGAUAGACUCGAUUAACUGUAUUCCCUCCGGUGGUGAGCUGGUGCGAAUAUAAAUUAGCGACUUCGAUCGAUUGUUUUGCCGUAGCUCCGGGAGAGAUUGAGAAAGCAGGUGGCGACCGAUCGCACGCAUCCGGACUUUGAAUCGCCGAUUUGGAGUAGUCAGAUUUAGGGAAGAUUCUUGUAAAGAUGAGAAUAAUGGAAGAGUAAUUUCAUUUGUUUUAUAAAUUAUAGGAAAUUGUUGGAAAGGAAGCGAUGUAAUAAAAGUUUAUUGAAUCUUCUCACUUGUAUGAAGUGGAUUAGAAUGAGAGUUGUGAUGUAAUUGAUUAAAAUCUCAUUUUAAUAGAAUUCUGUAUUUCAAGGAAUAUUCAUUUGUCUCUGUUCGAUAGUCUUUUAAUUCUUUAUGUGUUUAGUAGACAUUUUUAAGUUUGAAGGAAAAGAAAGUUUUUCAGUGAGUUUUCAGUCAAGAUUGUAAAGUGAAGUUUUCUUCGCUGUAAAUUCUACAAUUUUAUUAGUUUUAUUCAGUGAAAAAUACCCAACUUGACGCCAUGGUCAAGAACCUAAUUAUCUGAUUCUGAAAGAAGCUUCACCUCGAAAUUGAAGUUUCUAAACUACUACGUGUUAACAUUAUCAACAAACUUGGUCACACUACAGGCGAAACUUUUCUAUUUUCAUUAAAUUGCUCUUUGAUUUGCCGUGAUCUUGCAGAAAUCUUGUUGCCACGAAAAUUAGACUAAACUUAACUAAACUUAGCUAAAGAAGAAAAAUUAUCGUUCAAAUCCGACUUUUUGGCGGAUCGAAGAAUUGAAAUUGUGCUAGAGCGUUUAUAAUUGAAUGAUAAAAAUAAAAAAAAAAAAAAAAUAGAGAAAGAGCAUAAAAAAAUAGAAAAUGAAAGAGAAUAAAAUGUAUUCACUUUUGACGAACUGAAAUUUCGAGCAACGCCACGUGCUUUUGGUUCUGCACUUUUGACAUUUCACGAGCUUUUCACCAACAGACAGCGAUUUUCAAUGGGAUUGUCCUACGGAAAGAGAAACUUCAAAGGGAAUGGUAUUCGCAAAUUGAGCGGAGUCAGUCGGAAUACCUUUUUGUAGUUUCGUAAAUGCAAAAUUCGACACACGGCCAACAAUGGGUGGACGGGAAAGAGAAUGGGGAAGAAAAAAAAAGCAAGCAAAAUCAAGAUUGUGCAGUUACAAUACGCUAUAACGUUGUCAUUGAGAAUUACUUAUUAUUAUUUCUUUCCCUUCCUUAAGAAAUAUUAAUGAAAGAUAAAAUAUGGAAUAAGGGAAUUGAGGAACAGUUUCAAAAUUACGCAACGAUCCAAACAAAAAGGGAAAGAGAAAUGUAGGAAUUUCCUAGAAGAACCUCCAUCACAAUCGAAUUUCCUUUGCAUCAAUAUUCGAAGGACUGUCUUCUUCGAGAGAAUUGCUCCAAUAAAAUCCACGCGUAUUCGUAAAAGUCGCUUCCUUUCUUUGAGCUUUUCGCGUGGAAAGCGUAGAGUUCCAUCUGCUCGAUGGCGAAUAAAAAUGAAAGGAUUGUUCUUCGAUGCUGUUUGAUCGUUGCUGAGUCUCACGCGCAUUUCUUUGCUCGUCAUCGAGUCUCUAUAGUAACGUGCGUGCGCCUCUAGUUGCCCAGAUUCGUCGAAGAAAACACAAAUAGACUUGUCCAUGGCACGCUUUUGUUCGUGUCUCGUGUGCACAAGUAAUCAUUGAUUCGUUUUUCUUGUUGGCCCUGUUACACACUUUUUCCGGAUCGACACGAAACCCACGAUAGUAUCAAAGCUUAAUCGAAAGUGCGUCCCUAUGUUCGUUCACCGAUUCAGCCGCAGUUCUUGUUUCUUUUUUUUUUUUUUUCGAUGAACAAGGAACAAGGCAUGAGCAAGUUUUUCACGCCAUUUCGAAGAACAGUGCUGUAGAUUGUAACUCAGAGAUUGAAUUAUUUACAGACCCGAUCGGUUUGCUCCUGCCACCCGGAGAGUGUUUGAUUCUAUUUGUUAAAGUGAAGUCAGUAACGUUGGUAUUGAAACAUUAAAUUUAUAAUAAUAACUGUAAUAAUUUUAAGCUUGACAGAGAGAGAUGCUAAAUGAAAUUAUUGUUAAAAAUUGGUGAUGUUUGAAAAAUUUUUGUGAUUUCAUUAGGAAUUAUUAUUAAAUUCUAAUUACUGGUCAAAUAAUGAUAGAUGGAAAUUGUUAAGGAAUAUGAAUAUAAUGGAACAUGGAUGUAAAUGACAUUGAUAAUUGUUUAUUAUUUUUAUUAAAAUACACGUAUAAUAUAAUCAUAAAA